rnacentral:rRNA from 1 species
UACGAAGGGGGCUAGCGUUGCUCGGAAUCACUGGGCGUAAAGGGUGCGUAGGCGGGUCUUUAAGUCAGGGGUGAAAUCCUGGAGCUCAACUCCAGAACUGCCUUUGAUACUGAAGAUCUUGAGUUCGGGAGAGGUGAGUGGAACUGCGAGUGUAGAGGUGAAAUUCGCAGAUAUCGGGAGGAACACCCGUAGCGAAGGCGGCACUCUGGGCCGGAACUGACGCUGAGGAGCGAAAGCGUGGGGAGCAAACAGG